rnacentral:rRNA from 1 species
GCUAAUCCUGGUCGGACAUCAGGAGGUUAGUGCAAUGGCAUAAGCCAGCUUGACUGCGAGCGUGACGGCGCGAGCAGGUGCGAAAGCAGGUCAUAGUGAUCCGGUGGUUCUGAAUGGAAGGGCCAUCGCUCAACGGAUAAAAGGUACUCCGGGGAUAACAGGCUGAUACCGCCCAAGAGUUCAUAUCGACGGCGGUGUUUGGCACCUCGAUGUCGGCUCAUCACAUCCUGGGGCUGAAGUAGGUCCCAAGGGUAUGGCUGUUCGCCAUUUAAAGUGGUACGCGAGCUGGGUUUAGAACGUCGUGAGACAGUUCGGUCCCUAUCUGCCGUGGGCGCUGGAGAACUGAGGGGGGCUGCUCCUAGUACGAGAGGACCGGAGUGGACGCAUCACUGGUGUUCGGGUUGUCAUGCCAAUGGCACUGCCCGGUAGCUAAAUGCGGAAGAGAUAAGUGCUGAAAGCAUCUAAGCACGAAACUUGCCCCGAGAUGAGUUCUCCCUGAGACUUAAAGUCUCCUGAAGGAACGUUGAAGACGACGACGUUGAUAGGCCGGGUGUGUAAGCGCAGCGAUGCGUUGAGCUAACCGGUACUAA